UACAGAGGUCCCAAGCGUUGUUCGGAUUCAUUGGGCGUAAAGCGCGUGUAGGCGGUUCGGUAAGUCCGCUGUGAAAGUCGAGGGCUCAACCCUCGGAUGCCGGUGGAUACUGUCGGACUAGAGUGCGGAAGAGGCGAGUGGAAUUCCUGGUGUAGCGGUGAAAUGCGCAGAUAUCAGGAGGAACACCGAUUGCGAAGGCAGCUCGCUGGGACGUUACUGACGCUGAGACGCGAAAGCGUGGGGAGCAAACAGG
rnacentral:rRNA from 1 species